rnacentral:rRNA from 1 species
GGAAGUAAAAGUCGUAACAAGGUUUCCGUAGGUGAACCUGCGGAAGGAUCAUUAUUGAAUGAAUGUAGAGUUGUGUUGUCGCUGGCUGGAUCGGAUUGAUUUCUGUUUCAGCAUGUGCACGCCUUCUCUUUCAUCCACACACACCUGUGCACUUGUGAGACUGGGGACCGUAAAAAAGUCUUCAGUCUACUUAAAUAUACAAACUCCAUUUAAUUAAACUGAAUGUAAUUGAUGUAACACAUCAUUAGAACUAAGUUUCAACAACGGAUCUCUUGGCUCUCGCAUCGAUGAAGAACGCAGCGAAAUGCGAUAAGUAAUGUGAAUUGCAGAAUUCAGUGAAUCAUCGAAUCUUUGAACGCACCUUGCGCUCCUUGGUAUUCCUUGGAGCAUGCCUGUUUGAGUAUCAUGAAAUUCUCAAAGUCAAUCCUUUUUGUUAAUUCAAUUGGUUUGCUUUGGACUUGGAGGUCUUUGCAGAUGUCGCAGUCUGCUCCUCUUAAAUUUAUUAGCUGGAUCUCAGUAUACACUUGGUUCCACUCAGCGUGAUAAGUAUCAUUCGCUGAGGACACUGUAAAAGGUGGCCAGGAAAUACAGAUGAACCGCUUCUAAUAGUCCAUUUACUUGGACAAUCUACUUUAUGAUCUGAUCUCAAAUCAGGUAGGACUACCCGCUGAACUUAAGCAUAUCAAUAAGCGGAGGA